UACAGAGGUCUCAAGCGUUGUUCGGAUUCAUUGGGCGUAAAGGGUGCGUAGGCGGCGCGGUAAGUCGGGUGUGAAAAUCGUCGGGCUUAACUCCGAAACUGCAUUCGGAUACUGCCGUGCGUUGAGGACUGGAGAGGAGACUGGAAAUUUACGGUGUAGCGGUGAAAUGCGUAGAUAUCGUAAGGAAGACCCGUGGCGAAGGCGGGUCUCUGGAC
rnacentral:rRNA from 1 species